rnacentral:misc_RNA from 1 species
GAUGAAGAACGUAGCGAAAUGCGAUACUUGGUGUGAAUUGCAGAAUCCCGUGAACCAUCGAGUCUUUGAACGCAAGUUGCGCCCGAAGCCAUUAGGCCGAGGGCACGCCUGCCUGGGCGUCACACGUCGUUGCCCCCCCAUCUACUCCUUCGGGAUUGCGGGGGGCGGAUGAUGGCCUCCCGUGCGCCUCGUCGCGCGGUUGGCAUAAAUGCCAAGUCCUCGGCGACGCACGCCACGACAAUCGGUGGUUGCGAAACCUCGGUUGCCCGUCGUGUGCGGUCGUCGCGCAUCGAGGGCUCGAAAAAAUUGCCGGGCUCCGGCUCGGCUUUCAACGCGACCCCAGGUCAGGCGGGGUUACCCGCUGAAUUUAAGCAUAUAAUAAGCGGAGGA